rnacentral:rRNA from 1 species
UACGGGGGGGGCAAGCGUUGUUCGGAAUUACUGGGCGUAAAGGGCUCGUAGGCGGCCAACUAAGUCAGACGUGAAAUCCCUCGGCUUAACCGGGGAACUGCGUCUGAUACUGGAUGGCUUGAGUUCGGGAGAGGGAUGCGGAAUUCCAGGUGUAGCGGUGAAAUGCGUAGAUAUCGGAGGAACACCGGUGGCGAAGGCGGCAUCCUGGACCGAUACUGACGCUGAUGAGCGAAAGCCAGGGGAGCAAACGGG